rnacentral:rRNA from 1 species
UGAGGAAUAUUGGUCAAUGGGCGAGAGCCUGAACCAGCCAAGUCGCGUGAAGGAAGACUGCCUUAUGGGUUGUAAACUUCUUUUAUACAGGAAUAAAAAGGCUUACGCGUAGGCCAUUGCAAGUACUGUAUGAAUAAGCAUCGGCUAACUCCGUGCCAGCAGCCGCGGUAAUACGGAGGAUGCGAGCGUUAUCCGGAUUUAUUGGGUUUAAAGGGUGCGCAGGCGGGCUUUUAAGUCAGCGGUGAAAUCUGGACGCUUAACGUCCAAACUGCCGUUGAAACUGGGAGUCUUGAGUAUGGAUGAAGUAGGCGGAAUUCGUUGUGUAGCGGUGACAUGCAUAGAUAUAACGAGGAACUCCGAUUGCGUAGGCAGCUUACUAAGCCAUAACUGACGCUCAUGCACGAAAGCGUGGGGAUCAAACAGGAUUAGAUACCCUGGUAGUCCACGCCGUAAAACGAUGAUUACUAGUUGUAUGCGAUAUGAUAGUAUGUGACUAAGCGAAAGCGAUAAGUAAUCCACCUGGGGAGUACGCCGGCAACGGUGAAACUCAAAGGAAUUGACGGGGUCAUAGCUGUUUCCUG